UUAGUAUCUAAAUCGGGGCUGCACUAGGUACUUCGCCAACAAAGAAACGGACAAACAAAUUUUACAGAACCGAAAAAGUCCUGAGUAUGUUAAGGCAGGUUCCUUGAAGGAUCCUCUGUUAGAUGACCAUGGAGAUUUUAUCAGGAUGUGCACAGCCAUGAAAAAAAUCGGUUUGGAUGAUGAAGAAAAACUUGAUCUAUUUCGAGUCGUGGCUGGUGUCCUGCACCUUGGAAAUAUUGAUUUUGAGGAAGCCGGAAGCACUUCAGGUGGCUGCAAUCUGAAGAACAAAUCCGCCCCCUCACUGGAGUACUGUGCUGAAUUGC
rnacentral:lncRNA from 1 species